rnacentral:rRNA from 1 species
CCUACGGGUGGCAGCAGUGAGGAAUAUUGGUCAAUGGGCGAGAGCCUGAACCAGCCAAGUCGCGUGAGGGAUUACUGCCCUAUGGGUUGUAAACCUCUUUUGUCGGGGAGCAAAAGCCGGACGUGUCCGGCUGUGAGAGUUCCCGAAGAAAAAGCAUCGGCUAAAUCCGUUCCAGCAGCCGCGAUAAUACGGAGGAUGCGAGCGUUACCCGGAUUUAUUGGGUUUAAAGGGUGCGCAGGCGGAUUUUUAAGUCAGCGGUAAAAUCGUGGGGCUCAACCCCAUCCAGCCGUUGAAACUGGGGAUCUAGAGUGUGCGAGAGGUAUGCGGAAUGCGUGGUGUAGCGGUGAAAUGCAUAGAUAUCACGCAGAACCCCGAUUGCGAAGGCAGCAUACCGGUGCACAACUGACGCUGAGGCACGAAAGCGUGGGUAUCGAACAGGAUUAGAUACCCUAGUAGUC